rnacentral:rRNA from 1 species
CAAGCGGUGGAGCAUGUGGUUUAAUUCGAUGCAACGCGAAGAACCUUACCUGGUCUUGACAUCCACGGAAGUUUUCAGAGAUGAAAAUGUGCCUUCGGGAACCGUGAGACAGGUGCUGCAUGGCUGUCGUCAGCUCGUGUUGUGAAAUGUUGGGUUAAGUCCCGCAACGAGCGCAACCCUUAUCCUUUGUUGCCAGCGGUCCGGCCGGGAACUCAAAGGAGACUGCCAGUGAUAAACUGGAGGAAGGUGGGGAUGACGUCAAGUCAUCAUGGCCCUUACGACCAGGGCUACACACGUGCUACAAUGGCGCAUACAAAGAGAAGCGACCUCGCGAGAGCAAGCGGACCUCAUAAAGUGCGUCGUAGUCCGGAUUGGAGUCUGCAACUCGACUCCAUGAAGUCGGAAUCGCUAGUAAUCGUGGAUCAGAAUGCCACGGUGAAUACGUUCCCGGGCCUUGUACACACC